rnacentral:rRNA from 1 species
UAACCUGCCCAAGAGAUCGGGAUAACACCUGGAAACAGAUGCUAAUACCGGAUAACAACAGAUGAUGCCUAUCAACUGUUUAAAAGAUGGUUCUGCUAUCACUCUUGGAUGGACCUGCGGUGCAUUAGCUAGUUGGUAGGGUAACGCCUACCAAGGCGAUGAUGCAUAGCCGAGUUGAGAGACUGAUCGGCCACAUUGGGACUGAGACACGGCCCAAACUCCUACGGGAGGCAGCAGCC